CUCCCACCUCAGCCUCCUGUGUAUUGGGGACCACAGGCUCCUGCAGUCCCGCACAGCGCCCAGCCAGGAUGGGCAGGAGGAAGCCCUUCCUCCGACGGGCCCUCACCGCACCCUGCCUGAGGGGCCUUGAGCCCCAGGGCUCUUGUCUCAGCACUUGGCCGUGGAGAUUCGGGAACUAUGGGAGUUUGGGGGAUCUCGGUGGCUGAGGGCUGUGCUCAUGAAGGACUCCUUGAGUUUGGAAGAUGAGGCUCACCUUCUGCACAGCCAAUAGGUCAUUGUCAUGGGAACACUGACCACCAGCACCAACCUCCAUCCCCCGCCGGGGGCACGUGCCUUUAUCACCCAUUUCCUAGGUUUUGUUGUGGUUCCCAGGCGGUGCCUUCGAGACUGGCUCAGCCUCCAUCUUCGAUGGGUCCUCCCUGGCUGCCUAUGAGGACAUGCUGGUUGUGAUCGUCCAGUACCGGCUGGGAAUAUUUGGCUUCUUCACCACAUGGGAUCAGCACGCUCCCGGGAACUGGGCCUUCAAGGACCAGGUGGCUGCUCUAUCCUGGGUCCAGAAGAACAUCGAGUUCUUCGGUGGGGACCCCAGCUCUGUGACCAUCUUUGAUUCUGUCUCCCAUGGCCGAAGGCUUAUUCCACAAAGCCGUCAUGGAGAGUGGGGUGGCCAUCAUCCUUUACCUGAAGGCCCAUGAUUAUGAGAAGAGUGAGGACGUACGAAUACUGUUAACACCUUGCUAGCUUCCUCUCCUCAGUUAGGGGAGAAUGUGUUCAGGCACCUUCUCACCAUGUGCCAUCUAUCCCACGAUAUUUGUCAUCUGUCUCUUAAUUAUCUACUACAGAGUGAGGCCCUAGAGACCAGGAUCUCUCUGUCCUUCAGGCCCCCAGCAUAAUAAGUGGUAUAUAUCAGGCAGCUAUAAAUGUUCUGGAUGAAUGAGCUAAUGAAUGAGCUGUUUCAUUCAAUGCAUAUUAAUUAA
ensembl:lncRNA novel transcript